rnacentral:rRNA from 1 species
GCUGGCGGCGUGCCUAACACAUGCAAGUCGAACGAGAAAGUGGAGCAAUCCAUGAGUAAAGUGGCGACCGGGUGAGUAACACGUGACUAACCUGCCUUCGAGUGGGGGAUAACCUCGGGAAACCGGGGCUAAUACCGCAUAAUGCCUUCGGGUUAAAGAAGCAAUUCGCUUGAAGAGGGGGUCGCGGCUGAUUAGCUAGUUGGUGAGGUAACGGCUCACCAAGGCGAUGAUCGGUAGCCGGCCUGAGAGGGCGCACGGCCACACUGGAACUGAAACACGGUCCAGACUCCUACGGGAGGCAGCAGUGGGGAAUUUUGCGCAAUGGGGGAAACCCUGACGCAGCAACGCCGCGUGGAGGAUGAAGUCCCUUGGGACGUAAACUCCUUUCGACCGGGACGAUGAUGACGGUACCGGUGGAAGAAGCCCCGGCUAACUUCGUGCCAGCAGCCGCGGUAAUACGAGGGGGGCAAGCGUUGUUCGGAAUUAUUGGGCGUAAAGGGCGCGUANGCGGUGCGGUAAGUCACCUGUGAAACCUCUGGGCUUAACUCAGAGCCUGCAGGCGAAACUGCCGUGCUCGAGUGUGGGAGAGGUGCGUGGAAUUCCCGGUGUAGCGGUGAAAUGCG